UCUGUAUCUGGAAUCUAAACCUUAACCGUGCCCCCACCCCAAAAGCUAAAUCUACUCUUCUCCGAUUGAGAAAACGAAGAUGAAGCAAGUUUUCUCUUUUACUGCAUGGAGGCCAAACAACUUGCUCGCAAAAUCGCCAUUCAGUCCGACUACAUUAGGUUCCAAUCCAUCAAGUGGAGAACCCGAAGACCAAUCUAUGUACAAUUCAGUUCAGUCUCGGUUAUUUUCGGUGCGGUUCUCGGGUAAUGUCAGAUUCAAAUUCGAGUCCCACAGAUGUGCAGUGUUGUAUGAUGUAUGUUCUCAGUCCCACAGGUACAGAGCUUAUGUGAGGUACACAAAUGUUUGUUUAAGCAAAAUCACUUCUAUCAGUUUAAGGACAACAAAACAAGGUGGAAGAACCGACAGAUAAUGCUACAGGUAAGCCGAUUGCAUACUUUUUUUAGUUCGACCUGCUUGAACUGAUCUACCCGAAUCUUAAACUGGCCAGUUAGUUUAUUCAGGUAUCAGUUAUCUUUGACAACCUAAAAACUUUCAUAUUUUCACAUGUCUUUUAAACAUGGUGUAGAUUCUAUUUUCUGAACAAUGUUUUGUCACCUAGGCAUACUCAGCCAUAGUUUUUUCAUUAGGCACUACUUUGUUUAAUUUGUUAGGCCAUUUACAAAAAUACAGGCAAAAUUCUAUAAAGAGAUUUGGAUGCAUCUUUUUAUGUUGAAGAUCACAUGAAAUCUUAACUAGAUCAGGUUAAUCGUGUAUAAUCAAGUUUAAUAUAUUGUAUCCUAUAACCGAACCAAUAAUGCUACCAGUAAAGUGAUUAGCUGAUUUUUAAAGCCAACUUACUUAAAUUGAUCUACCUGAAUCUUACACAGGUCAGUUGGUUUAUUCAGGUAUCAGUUAUUUUUUACAGGACUAAGAACUUUCAUAUUGAUUGACUAAAUCUUAGUUCUCUUGAUCCAGUCUUGACAUGUCCAAACUUUCAGCUCUAGCAACUUCCUUUCAUGCACUACAACUGUUGAUGCAACGAAUACAAGACCAAGGCCUGUAGCGACAUCUCUGGGUAAAAGGGUUCAGGGGUUCGAUUAGCCUAACGCAGGUCGUGGGGUCCCUCCACGUUUGCAAAACGUAGAGAGAGGUUCACUAGUAAUGUUAUUGUUCUUUGCUAAUUCUAAGCUGAAAAGGUUCCAGCCCAGAAUGUGAUCGCGGAAGUUGUAUUUUGUGAGCGAAGAAGAGAACUUGUAAUGAACAAGUUCUUGAGGGAGAAGAGAGAGAUCAGAAGUUCAUGUGAGAUUACAACUGAUCUGGAGUGUGUUGAAUGCUGGACCUGACUUAUGUUUUAUAGGGAAAGGCAUCUCCCAAAGGAGAAGCUCUGGACUAGUGAACCAUGCUUACAGUGGAGGACUUACCCAUUUAGGGGUUGAAGGGUUUGGACCUGCGGGUAAAAGAGUGUGCUCUCCCACAUGGUCUGGUUGCAGCUGGGCAGGAGGUUUCACACGUUAAGUGUUGAUGUGACAGGACACUGUGCUUGUCCUUUUUACUGUUCAUGACCGUUGGAACAUUUCUGAACCUUUUAACCUUUUAACCUUUUAAGCUGUUGUGUCUCUAAUCAGUUUAUUAAGGUUUGAGCUACCCCCGUCAUCAGCCCCCCAAGUCAGAGGUGUUUGGGAUGUAAGCUCAAAUGCUUCUGACUUUUACACAUUAUUUUUUAUUGCUUAAAGGCUUCAAGGCUUUAAGGUGUUUGAGUUUUGAGAUUUGAAUUUCAGAAUGAUAGUAGAUGUGAUAGGCUUCAAGGUUUUAAGGCUUGAAGGCUUUAAGGCUUGAAGGAUACAACUUGUCUCACUCAAGAGGAAGUUGAGGCUUUUUGUAAAGAAUGGGGGAUCGAUCUAAAGUUUAAUCCGGUGGCUCUGGGUUUUGGCAAAUCAAUCGAUUAAUGUCCCGUUGGUUCGAUUGCUCUUUAUUGCUGAGUUUUCCAACUUGCGUCAUCCGUUUUCGGUCUUUGUUCUGAAUGUUUUAGAGUAUUAUCGUGUGUCGUUUGGUCAGUUACACCCUUAAGGUCUUGCUAGGGUUUUACACUUUGAGGUCUUGUGAUAUGGUAUGACCCAUCGUUGUUGUUUCGAUGUUUCUUACGGUUGACCAAGAACGGCGAUUGUUUUACCUUUGAAACAUCUCAGGUUGAUGUGUGUUUAAUUUCAUCUAUGGUUACUACCGUUUGUUCUUGGAAGGACCGACUUUUCUGGAUUUCUGAGUCCAUUGUUCCUUUCGGGUUUGUUUGGAGGCAUCCUUAUGAUGUUUUGAAUGAGCUUGAACCUUUCAAACACGAGAUAGAUGGUUGUUGAAGUUUAUUAGGGGGUGUCCUUCCAGGCUUUGUCCCCUUCCCGAACAUCUUUUAGUGUUGGUGGAUGUUAGCAAGUUAUGGGACAAGCCGGAUCGUGACUCUGUGCUCGUGAUAGAUGAUCAAGGUAUGAUAUUUUGUAUUUUCUGCUUAUGUUAUAUUUUAUUUGUUGCAGUUAUGUUUGCCUUAGACUUUAUCAAGAGUGCUGUCACAUCUGAUGUUGUGUUUGGAGAUGCCGAGGCUACAUCCGGCGAAGAUGUUGUUGUUAGGGGCACUGAACAUAGGUUCGAGGGUUCAGGCUAUGUGAACGUUCCCAAUGUCAAAGGCUUUACUAAGGUCGGUGCUUCCCAAGCUUCUAUUCGCUGUUUAACCCGACGUAUGUUAAAGAGAGUUGAACUACCAUCGGCCUUUGAGCCAGUGGAACCGAGUGAUGACAUAGAGGAUUCGGACGACCCGGAAGUUAGGGUUGAGGGAAAAUAAAAAGAUACAAGGAGUUGCCCUUGGUGAUUGUUAAGGAGAGUAAAGCAGUGGGUAAGAAGGUUGUGAGAUGAAAGCUUUAGUGGUUGCUUUGAAAGAAGCUGAGGGCUACGCUGAGGAGGAGAAAGCAUUGCUGUUUGAAGAUUUGAGGAGUUUUCAUAAGACUGAUAUGGUUGAGUUGGAUAAACGCUUGGAGGCUGACAAGGUUUAAGUCAGGGUCUUUAAGGCUGCCUUGUAUGUUCAGAAGAAGCCUUCUUGGAGGAGAAGGAAGGGUUAAAGGCUUCCCUUUCCCAGGCUACUGGUGAUAAUAAACUGCUCAUUGAGCAUGGAUUCCAGCAAGUGGUUACCUAUCUUCUCUAUUCGUCGGAUUUCAACAAAGUCUUGGGUGAUGUGUACACCAAGCUUCUUGCUCAUGUGAGACACCAAGGUUUGUUUGUUGGUUAUAAAUAUUUGUGAACCUAGGAAGCCUUAGAAAAAAUCUUCUCUUUUUCAACACAAAGCCUUCAAAGUCUUCAAGGGAAUAAUUUUUAAGAUUGAGCAUAUGGUUUACCCUUAUGUGGGUGAAGUCUCCAAGUGUUUUGGUAAAUCUUUACCUGUCUUGCAGGAGCUAAAACCCCAGGGUCUUAAUGAGGCUGUUUGUAAUGAAGUGUUGAAGCCCUUCUCGAAGAAACGUCCUUGCUUUGGAGAUAGCGAGGGAAUGUGUUCUGAAGGUGGUGAGGGCUCAAAGGGUUCAAGCCUUGAAGCCUCCGAGACAGCGGGUAUCAUAGGGAGGAAAAAGAGGAAGGCUUAAAGCACCCAAGAUGAUGGGGUUUCGAAUAAGGAUGAUGCAGCAAAGUCUAUCAUCUCUGAUGCUGCCAAAUGAAGAAGAAACUUUAAUUCAUAGCCUUCUUAGCUUGUCGAACAAUGUUAUGAGUUGUUUGCUUAGACAUCUUUUUUGUUUUAAGGGAACCGUUUAGGUCCUUUGGUGGUUAAAGCCUUGAAGGCUUGUGGACAAUGUUUUAUGUUUGAUGGCAAGUAUGGCACUUGCUAUCUUUAACUUAUCUUGCUAUGUUGUUCUAUUUAUUCCCUUGCGUUUUCGUUGGUUUUGCAUGUUGUCUUUGUUUUGGGUGGUGCAUCUUAUGUUAUUUAUACCUUAAAGGGUUCAGCGCUGCAGUCACUUAGCCUUAUGAUAUUUUUAACAAGAAGAUACAACCUCUAUCCUAUGCAUGACAUUCACUUAGAGUAUUUUUGGUUCGUAAGCCAAUGUUAGGGCUUAAGGAACAGUUGGUGUAGGCUGUUCAAACCCGUCUAUGAGACAUGAUUUUUAAGAUUUCUAUGAGUCUCAUGGAGUUGUAUUGAUUUAGGAACUCACCCCUUAUAUAGGUCCAUUCAACCCUUGAACCUAUUGAGCGAUGUGGCCUGGGAGCUCAUCCCCUUACAUGGCCCUUGCCAUGGAGUUUCUUGCUAGGUUCUCAACCUGAUUAUAGGAUAGAAAGACAAAUUUUGAUUCAUUGUUCAUUCAUUUCGAAGUACUUUGAUUACUAGCGGAAUAGAACAACUUUUUGGAACUAUUUGUAACAUGUUUUGGUUAAACAUGGAACCUUUUAAGGUUUUUGGCAUCCCAAUGGUGGGGAAGCUUUUUGCCUUGCGGGCCUGCCAGCUUGUAUGAUCCCCCUUUGUAGGCUUUAAGGAUAGUGUAUGGCCCUUCCUACUUAGGACCAUGCUUUCCUUGGCUUUCUUUCUUGCUGGCCUCAUUGUUUCGAAGCACAAGGUCCUCAGGCUUGAAGCGUUCAUGCUUCACCCGUGUAUUGUAUAUGAUUCUAUGUUUUGCUUGUACCUUGCUUUUUGUAUGGCUGCUUAAUCACGAGCCUCUUCGAGGAGUUUCAAAUUCAACAUCGUCUCUUUCUUAUUUGGCUUGAGGUCGAUGUUAAUUGUUCUUUGUGUUGUUGCUCCGAUUUCAACUAGGAUUACAGCCUCUGAUCCAAACACUAGGCUGUAGGGUAUUUUCUUUGUGGCUUGUUUUCUCGGUUGUUUGGAUUUCCAAUAGCACAUUGGGAAGCUAUUCGAGCCAGUUGUUGUCGUAUCUUCCUAAUCGAGAUUUAAUCCCUUCAACAAUGUUGUGGUUUAUCCUAUCAACCUGGCCAUUGGAUUGUGGGUAAGCUACCGAGCUGAAUACUUGAGUUAUUCUGAACUCCUUGCAUCAGAGCUAGAAGGUUUCUCGGCAAACUAUUUCCAGUUAUCCAUGACUAGUACCCCUGGGAGCCUAAAACGAUAGAUUAUGCUUUCGAAAUCAAUGACAUGUUUCCCUGAGAUUUUUGCCAAUGGUUUUACUUCUGGUCACUUGGUGAAGUAAUUCACGGUUACCAAUAAGAGCUUGACUCCUCAUUUGGCUAGUGGGGAUGGGCCAACAAUGUCUAUACCCCACUUGUGAAAUGGCCAAGCCAAGGAGAUGGGAACGGGGUCAUGUUUGGGGCUUUUGGGUACCGGAGCAUGUAACUGACAAGUUUCACAUUUUCGCAGUUGUUCGGAGGUAUCUCGAUGCAUGGAAGGCCAAAAGUGUUCGAGGUUCAUCAACUUUGACACUACCGAUUUUGGGCCACAAUGAGCUCCACAUAUCCCUUCGUGAACCUCUUUGAUCAGAUAUUGGCUUUGUUUUGGGCCAACGCAUCGAAGUAGUGGUGCAAGGUAUCCUUUUUUCUAAAGGAUAUACCCUUGUAACACAUACUGCCUUGACUUGAUACGAACCCUUUCAGCCCUAGUCUGGUCAUUAGGUAAUUCAUCGUUUUUGGGAACUUUUCAAUGGGAGUCAUCCAAUUUGGCCCUUCUUCGGUGAUCACAUCUUGAAACUCGAUUUUUUUGGAUGGAUGGUAUUUUUAAUACCUCAACUAGUAUCUUCUUGGUGAGAUGUGCAAACGUAAGAGAUGCAGGCUUGCUUACUGCAUCAGCUCUCUUGUUUUGAGAUCUUGGAAUUUAUUUGAUGGCGCAUGUUUGAAAUGUGUUAAUCGAUUCCUUUGAUUUAUUUUGGUACUUAUUCAUGUUGGGUUCUUUUUCUAUGUAGAUGUUAUUGUCUAAGCUUGAGAGAGUCUGUGAGGACUUGAAGCCUUUUGACACCCAUAUUUUUUGCAAGCUUGAGCCAAGCAAUCAAUGCUUCAUACUUAGCUUCGUUGUUUGUAGUCUGAAAUUCAAGACGAAAGGCAUACAUGAAUUCCAAUUCGUUGGGAUCAAUUAGAACUAGCCCUGCUCCUGACCCUUCAAUGCUGGAAGCUUUGUCGGUAAAGAGCUUCCAGGUAUCAGGGUUGGAGGGUUCAGCUGCAGUUGUAUUAACUUCUGUUAUGGCUUCUUUAGGGACUUACAAGAUGAAGUCAGCCAAGAUUUGAGCUUUGACAACUUUUCUCAGGACAUAGGUGAUUUUGUGUUCACCUAGUUUCACAACUCAUUUGGCUAAUCAUCCGGAAUUUUCUUGUUUUUCAAGCACAUUCUUAAUUGGUUAGUCAAUGAUUACUUGUAUCGUGUGUGACUGAAAGUACCUUCGAAGCCUUCUAGCCGUUUGGACUAGGGCUAGAGCAAGUUUUUUUUUUUUUUUGUUUUUUUUUUUUAAGAAGAAUAUUUGAUUUCUGCUAACUUUGAAGUUUUGAAAAAGUAAACGGGUAUCUGAACUUUGUUUCAUUCAAUGAUUAGAGCCGUACUUAUGGUAUUUUCAGCAAUCGAAAGGUAGAUAGAGGUCGUUCCUCCUGUUUCUGGAGCCGAAAUGGUUGGGAGUGAAACCAAGUGUUGCUUUAUUUGGUUGAAGGCUUCCUUUUGAGGUAAAACGCUUCAAAGCUGUAAGCUUUCCAAGUCUUUCUUGUUAGCACAUCCUUUGAGGGUUGGCUUUUAUGCUUUGUUUCCCCAUGAUGUGCCCUAAAAACGAGCACUUGACUGGAUUAAGCUUUCAUGUUUAUCUUUCUCGAGGUUUGGAAGGUUUCUUGUAUGUCAUUGAGCAUUUGGUAUUCCGUUUUGCUCUUGAUCAUCAAAUCUUCAACAUAAGCUUCUAUGUUCUUGCCAGUUUGUUCGGUAAACGCUUUGUCAACCAGGCGUUGAUAAGUGGCACCUGCGUUUCUUAAAACAAAAGGCAUUUUUUGGUAGCAAAAUAUGCCUUUAUCAGUGUGUAAUGCGGUUUUUAUUCGUCUUCUUCUUUUAUUAGGAUCUGAUGGCAACCCUUUUAGGUGUCAAGAAAACACGAGAAGCCCGUGAGUAAGUUAACCUUGAGGUCUAUCCAGGGCAGCAGGUAGCAAUCCUUUGGGCGUGCUUUGUUCAAGUCUUUAAAAUCGAUAUACAUUCUCCAAGACUUGUCGGGUUUUUAAACCAUUACCGGAUUGGCCACCCAUGAUUGAUACUUGACCUCUCGAAGGGUUCCGGCUAGAACAAGCUUUUCCAUCUUUUGGCGUUCUGCAAGGCUUCUUUUAGGGGCUUGACUCCGUUUCUUUUGUAUAAUGGGCUUAACAUCAGGUGGGAUCCAUAACUCAUGUUUCAACAAUGCUAUGAGGGAUGCCGGUCAUAUCCUCGGGGCAUCAAGCAAAUACAGAGUGCAAGAGCAGCUUUUCAAGGUAUGAGAGGAUUUCAUUGUAAAGGUUAGUGUUUACCCUUAUCCCCUGUUGAGGAUAUUUUGGGUUUAUGUUCAACCCUUGUUCAUCGUCUUCGUCCUUUCUUGAGCUUUCCCCUUCAACCACAAAAGCUUCUUGGGUAGGUUGAAGGGUUGCUAUCUCUUUUUCAGUGGGAAACUUCACAGUGCCUUGACCAACUACAAUUGCCAUUCCGAACACACCUUGCCCUGGCCUUCCUAUGAUGAUAUCAUAGUUGGAAGGGAUAUUGAUCACCGCAAAAGUGAGUUGUUCGGUUCGUCCCUUUGUUCUUUCGCUGAACAAACAUUAGGGGUUAUUUGGCCUAAAGGCUUGGUAGGUAUGUCUGCGAUACCUUCGAUGGAGGAUUCAGGCUGUUGAAGCUUUGAACGCUCAUCGUCGCUGAGAGGGUUAAAGCGUUUCAAGCUUUUCAUCAGCUGAAAGGGUUAAAGCAUUUCUCAAGCAUGACUUUGGAGGAUUCAGGCUGUUGAAGCUUUGAACGCUCAUUGUCGCUGAGAGGGUUAAAGCGUUUCAAGCUUUUCAUCAGUUGAGAGGGUUAAAGCUUUGUUUUCAAGGUCGACCAUGUUCACUUUAACCAAGUGAGCAAGUUCGGAGUUGACGGCUUUUUCGAUCCUCUUUUUGGGUUGGAAGCAAUUAUUGGUAUGGUGACCUUUCUAUUCGUGAAACUCACAAUACUGGCUUGAUUAUUCCAAUCUUUUGUUUUUUGGCAAAGGUUGAGGAGGGCAGAAGCUGUGUUUUACCCCUUCGGUUGCCAAGAUCUCUUAUGUAGUCUUGGUUAAGGCUGUAAAGUUUAUGGUUUUUUCUUGGCUUGGAGGGUUCUGGCCUUCAGGCCUUCUGGAAUCCGAACCUUUGAACCGUUUGUCAUAAGAGCCAUACUAGAAGCUCCAGUUAAGAGUCUUUUAUUUUGUUCUUUGAUGUCUACAGCUUAUUCUCCUCGAAUGUGGGCUUCAGCCCUUUCAAGUGUUUCUUCAAGGGUUUUGGGCAGACAUUUAUUGAAGUAUCUUAUGAAAUAUUUGGAAUUUAGCAUUCAUGAACCUUGCAACCCUAAUCUUUUCAUUGGCGUAAGUUAAAUCUUUCUUCUUGUAACUUUCGAUGAAGUCUCUGAGACGUUCAUCAUCACGUUGUUUGGUCUGGAAGAUUAUCGUGGCGUCAUUGACAUGCCUCUGUUGUUAUAGGGAACUUUUGCUAAGAUCGUCAAAGGUCUGAACGCUUCGUCCAGGAAGGUCAUUGAACCAUAUGCGUGAAAACCCUUCAAGGGUUUGCAUGAACAUGAGACAACAUUCGGAGUUGGGUCAUUUUUCAAUUCUUGCAAUCCCGGCGAAGAUUUGGAGGUAGUCUUUAGUACCGUGAUGGCAUCUUUAUCUGGGUUUGAAACUUGUAAUCAACGAUUUGUUGGGAGAAGCAAGACAAGUUUGUUAGGCUUGUAGGGUUUUGAGAGGUCUUCUACUACCCUUGAAGCUGGGUAACCGCUUGAGGUACCCUGGUGAGUGGUUGGCACUUGGUUGAUGAAAUUAAGGUCAAAGCCCUAAGGCUUUCUGUGUCAUCAUCCACUUUUCACGUGCUGCAAAGGAAAUUUUUUUCCAUCAUCCGUGUUAUCAGCUAGGGUAUAAGGUUAAAGCCUUAAAGGCUUUCUGAUGGUACUCAUGAAAGAUGUCAUCAUCUGUGUCAAAAGGUUAAAGCCUUAAAGGCUUACUGUAUAAGGCAUUCCCAUGGAUGUGUUCAUGACCAUACCACGAGCCGAAGGCAGGGUGGCCAUGGCUUGUUUUCACGAAGUAGCAAUGGGAGGGAGAACACUUGAAGUUGGUGACUUACCAUAAUUGAUCAAGAGUGGUUUUAUGCCCCAUAGGUGCACCGGUUGUAACGGGUUGGUAGGUAAAUAAGGGAAAAGCGGUUGGACUCGGCCUCCCAAAAGCUUAAAGGCUUGAGUGGUUGGUCUGUCAUACUAGGACCAACUUCAAGGCAAGAUGUGGCUGAACGUGAGCUGCUAAAAGGAAGAGAUGGAGGGCCAGGUGAUAAUGAGGGUUUAGAAUCCUCAUAAUUUAGUCUUAUUCUCACUCUUUUUCCCUUUCUAAGCUCACAUGCUAGUUGAGAAAAAAUCUCUCAUGUAAGAAAUUUCUAGCUACUCCCUCAAGUGUUAGAUCUAUGUGUUCCGGUAUAUGCAUUACAUCGAUUUGAGUAGGUGCAACCCCUGACCGAGAUGGGUUUGUGUUUGAAAAGAAGUGAACUCUAGGAACAUAUCCCGUUGGAGUACUUUCGGGAGUAGAAAGAGGUGUAGAUAAGACCGGUGAGAUCCGACCCGAAUUUGGUGUUAAAUCGGUGUUGUUAGGCACCUGAUUUACCUGACCGAGAGACUCGCUUUCAGACAUGAUGUAAAGAGAAAAUGGAGCUACACAACUGGUCUUUAAGAUAAAGUUAGCGGCGUAGCCCCACGGUGGGCGCCAACUUGUUGAUGCAACGAAUACAAGACCAAGGCCUGUAGCGACAUCUCUGGGUAAAAGGGUUCAGGGGUUCGAUUAGCCUAACGCAGGUCGUGGGGUCCCUCCACGUUUGCAAAACGUAGAGAGAGGUUCACUAGUAAUGUUAUUGUUCUUUGCUAAUUCUAAGCUGAAAAGGUUCCAGCCCAGAAUGUGAUCGCGGAAGUUGUAUUUUGUGAGCGAAGAAGAGAACUUGUAAUGAACAAGUUCUUGAGGGAGAAGAGAGAGAUCAGAAGUUCAUGUGAGAUUACAACUGAUCUGGAGUGUGUUGAAUGCUGGACCUGACUUAUGUUUUAUAGGGAAAGGCAUCUCCCAAAGGAGAAGCUCUGGACUAGUGAACCAUGCUUGCAGUGGAGGACUUACCCAUUUAGGGGUUGAAGGGUUUGGACCUGCGGGUAAAAGAGUGUGCUCUCCCACAUGGUCUGGUUGCAGCUGGGCAGGAGGUUUCACACGUUAAGUGUUGAUGUGACAGGACACUGUGCUUGUCCUUUUUACUGUUCAUGACCGUUGGAACAUUUCUGAACCUUUUAACCUUUUAACCUUUUAAGCUGUUGUGUCUCUAAUCAGUUUAUUAAGGUUUGAGCUACCCCCGUCAUCAACAACUUUUGAAAGUUUCUACAUUAAGCUUUGUGGGGGUGAACUUAGUAAGUGACAUAAGUUUGAUGCCAAGAUUAUGAGUGGAGAUGUUUAAAAGAGGUGGCCAUAGUCCAAAUGUUUGCUUGUUGACCUCUUCCAGUUCAUGAAGCCUUUCUUGAGGAAUGCUGAACUUGUAUCUAUAACAGAAUCAUCUUAUAUUUAUCGCCAGCAACAGAAGUUGGAAGCUAUGAUGCGAAAUUUUAUAAAACUAUCACUUGGAAAUCGAGUUAAGUAGAAUGUUUUCAUUUAUUUAUAUUAUUGCAAUGACACUCUGUAUUGACUAUAUUGUAUUGAGUUUGGACAAGUAUGUUAAAGUAGAUCAUUUGACUCUUAAUGAUAUCUAUGUUAUUAUUGUUUUAAUAUAAUUGUGAUUGAAUGUAUAUUAAUUAGUAGC